rnacentral:rRNA from 1 species
UACGGGGGGGGCAAGCGUUGUUCGGAAUUACUGGGCGUAAAGGGCUCGUAGGCGGCCAACUAAGUCCGACGUGAAAUCCCAAGGCUUAACCUUGGAACUGCGUCGGAUACUGGAUGGCUUGAAUUCGGGAGAGGGAUGCAGAAUUCCAGGUGUAGCGGUGAAAUGCGUAGAGAUCGGAAAGAACACCAACGGCGAAAGCACUCUGCUGGGCCGACACUGACACUGAGAGACGAAAGCUAGGGGAGCGAAUGGG